rnacentral:rRNA from 1 species
UAACGACUGGAAACGGUCGCUAAAACUGGAUAGGAUCAUUUGAGGUCAUCUCGAAUGAUUUAAAGGGGCUUUCAAGCCACACUUAGAGAAAGCCUGCGGCGCAUUAGCUAGUUGGUGGGUAGAGGCCUACCAAGGCGAUGAUGCCGUAGCCGGACUGAGAGGUCGAACGGCCACAUUGGGACUGAGACACGGCCCAAACUCCUACGGGAGGCAGCAGUAGGGAAUUUUCGGCAAUGGGGGAAACCCUGACCGAGCAACGCCGCGUGAAUGAAACGACGUAUUUCGGUAUGUAAAGUUCUUUUAUUAAGGAAGAAUAUCACGGAUAGGAAAUGAUCUAUUGAGUGACGGUACUUAAUGAAUAAGCCCCGGCUAACUAUGUGCCAGCCGCAGC